rnacentral:rRNA from 1 species
UUAGAUACCCCUGGUAGUUCCACGCCGUAAAANGAUGAGUACUAGGUGUCGGGGGUCGAAUNUCGGGUGCCCGCAGUUAACACAUUAAGUAUUCCCGCCUGGGGAGUACGGUCGCAAGACUGAAACUCAAAGGAAUUGACGGGGACCCGCACAAGCAGCGGAGCAUGUGGUUUAAUUCGAAGCAACGCGAAGAACCUUACCAAAUCUUGACAUCCUUUUGACCAUCAUUUAAUCAUGAUCUCUCUUCGGAGCAGAAGUGACAGGUGGUGCAUGGUUGUCGUCAGCUCGUGUCGUGAGAUGUUGGGUUAAGUCCCGCAACGAGCGCAACCCUUGUCUUUAGUUGUCAUCAGGUAAUGCUGGACCCUCUAAAGAGACUGCCGGUGAUAAACCGGAGGAAGGUGGGGAUGACGUCAAAUCAUCAUGCCCCUUAUGAUUUGGGCUACACACGUGCUACAAUGGUCGGUACAACAGGCAGCGAAAGGGUAACCUGGAGCGAAUCCUCUAAAGCCGAUCUCAGUUCGGAUUGUGGGCUGCAACUCGCCCACAUGAAGUUGGAGUUGCUAGUAAUCGUGAAUCAGAAUGUCGCGGUGAAUGCAUUCCCGGGUCUUGUACACACCGCCCGUCACACCAUGGAAGUUGGGGGCGCCCGAAGCCAGUGAUCCAACCGCAAGGAGGAAGCUGUCGAAGGUGAAACCAAUGACUAGGGUGAAGUCGUAACAAGGUAACCG